rnacentral:tRNA from 1 species
GCCCGGGUGGCUCAGUCGGUUGAGCGUCCGACUUCGGCUCAGGUCAUGAUCUCGUGGUCUGUGAGUUCGAGCCCCGCGUCGGGCU